GACGAACGCUGGCGGCGUGCCUAAUACAUGCAAGUCGAACGCAGUGGGGACGGGUGAGUAACACGUGGGUAACCUCCCAUCAGAGGGGAUAACACUUGGAAACAGGUGCUAAACCGGUACUGAUGGCUGGACCCGCGGUGCAUUAGCUAGUUGGUGAGGUAACGGCUCACCAAGGCAACGAUGCAUGGGCGAGCGGGGAGGGGGAGCGGCCAGCCUGGGACUGAGACACGGCCCGGACUCCUACGGGAGGCAGAGGUAGGGAAUCUUCGGCAAUGGACGAAAGUCUGACCGAGCAACGCGGCGUGAGUGAAGAAGGUUUUCGGAUCGUAAAACUCUGGUGUUAGAGAAGCGGUAUCUAACCAGAAAGCCACGGCUAACUACGGGCCAGCAGCCGCGGUAAUUC
rnacentral:rRNA from 1 species